rnacentral:lncRNA from 1 species
GGAAAAGGGAGAAUCUUUGCUCGUGCAAUUGCUUUAAUCUGAAAGCUGUUCUUGGAGCAUCUGUUGGAAAACAUUAGGAUUCUCCCAUCAUGCAGCGCGAGGAGCAUGACGUCACGGGAGCUGGGAGUGAGAAUGAGCGUGGUGAUGGGGAGGGGUCUCAAAUACUUGAACUGCGCGCUGCCAGGGGAAAGUGGGAGCUGGAUCCCGGUCCCUUCCACAGAAUCUGCAUGGAAACCCAGCAGGGCUGAGGCUGGUGGGCAGGACCCCAUCGAUAACUGCCCCCAACCAGGUCUACUGUGCCAUGGGCUGGCUCCUGCUGUGUGGAAAAGGUGCACAGGUAAGUCUGAGUUCAGACAGAGAGCCACCAGAGGGAGGGGUCCUCCUCCCCGCUACCAGAAAGAUGAAGAGCAGAAGAAUGGACUAUGGACGUCAGUGUCACCUGGUGCCUUGUCUGUGAGUCACAAAGAUAAUUUCCAGUCCCUUGACAGGGUCUGCACCCCAGAGGCCUUCAUCACUGCACCCGCCCGCAUACAGCUGAGGGGUCAGAGCAAACCCAAGGACCAGGCUCAGCAUCAGCAUCCUGGAGCCAAGGGGGCAUGGGAAGCAGAAGACAGAGGCAUGGCUACUUAUUAUUGCUUUAA